AAUGAAAUAAAGAUAAAAAUAAAGAACCACAAAGAAGUUUGAAGGAAAGAACAAAAGAUAUAAUAUGAAAUUUGAAGGAAAAGAAAAAAAACUACAUAAAGAGAUUAACAAGAAGGGAAAAUAAAAAUUUAUUUAGUGAACACAAAGGUGUAAACUUUAAAACAGAGAGCACUUAAAAGGAAAAAUUGAAACAAGAAGAAUUCGGCACUAAAAAAAAGCAAAGAAGAUGAGAAACUCCAAUAACACACAAAACACAAAAGAUAAGCAAACCUCAACUUGAAGCAAGCUCUGAUACCAAAUGAUAGGAAAUCAUCAUCUUAGCAACCAUAUACCCCAAUAACUAAUGAGUUAUGAUACAUAUGGAAUACAAGAAAAUAUCCUCAAAUCAAGAUGAUUCCAAAACCCAAGGAUCUCCUCAAGUGAAGUUAGGAAAAACUAGUUCCAACAAUGAAACUAGCACUUGAAUUCAACUCCAAACGCCACAAACCAAGUAUGAUUUGAUAAGUUAUGAAUCAAACACAAGAUUUUGGUUAGAGAACGCCACAAACUAAAAAUAGUUUGAUAAGUUCAAAGUUCAUGCAAGAACUUAAGCAAAAACACUCACAAAGAGCAAAUAAAGAUUAUCAUUCAUCAAUUCUAUUUUUACACAUGGAUUUAGCUUUGAUAUUUAUAGCCAAAACAAGAGAAAGAAACCUAAAUGGAUGUCUUUUGAGCUUCCCCACGUUUUUCCCUUUAAUUCCCCAUAUGAAGAUUCAAGCUCUUCAUAUUGUUGUUUAAUUCUCACUUGAUCAUCAAAAAUAGCCUUGGGAGGUAAUGGUCCAAGAUUGAACUUUUGUCCAUCAAUAGUCAAGGAAUAUCGAUUCUUGAACCCAUCAUAAAUCACACGCCUAUCAUAUUGCCAAGGUCUUCCCAAUAAAACAUGUCCGGCAUACAUGGGAACCACAUCGCAAAGCACCUCAUCCUUAUAUCUCCCAAUGGAAAAAGAAAUUAGCACUUGCUUAUUUACCUUCACAACACCACUAUCAUUCAACCAUUGCAACUUGUAAGGCCUUGGGUGUUUGGUAGUUGGUAAUUUCAAUUUCUCCACAAGCAAAGUACUAGCAACAUUAGUACAACUUCCACUAUCAACUAUCAUGUUACACAACUUAUUAGCAAUUAAACAAUGAGUAUGAAACAAAUUCUCACACUGCUCUCCAUGUUCAUCGUGUUUACAUUGCAAAUUAAGUAUGCGUUGUACUACUAACACAUCCCCUUUAGCAUACUCAACAUCACUAACAUCCUCUAAAGUUGGCAUGUCAUCAUUCUCAUCAUCAUUUUCAUUUUCACUUUCAGAUUCAAUAAUUCCAUCUCUAACAAUCAUGGUCCUCUUAUUAGGGCAAUCACGUGCAAAAUGACCGUGUCCAAGACACUUAAAACACUUCAAGCUUCUAGAUUGAUUAGCUUGAUUCUUAACUUUGUUUUUGCUGCCUAUUUCAUUUUUAUUCUUAUUCUCAUCCACUUUAGGCUUAGCAAAUUUAUCAUCCUUUUUACUCCAAUUCGAUUUCCAAUUAGAAGAACUAGAACUCGAAUUAAGUUUAGAAUCAAACUUACUUGCACCUUUUCGCUUGAGUUGCCUUUCAGUUUUCAUGGCCACAUUCACCAUGUCCUCAAGCUCCACAUAAUGUUGCAACUCUACAAGAUCAGCAAUAUUCUUGAUUAGACCAUUCAAGAAUCUUGCCAUGGUGACCUCUCUAUCCUCCUCCAUAUUUGCUUUAAUCAUAGCCAUUUCCAUUUCUUUGUGGUACUCCUCCACACUCAUGGUUCCUUGCCUUAGAGUUUGCAAUCGUUGAUGCAAAUCUCUAUAGUAAUAGUUAGGAAUGAACCUCUUUCUCAUGAUGCAUUUCAUCUCCAUCCAUGACCCUACGGGUCUUUCUCCAUUUCGUCUCCUUUCCCUACACAAUUGAUGCCACCAAACACUAGCGUAAUCACAAAACUCAACGGCAGCAAGUUUUACCUUUUUCUCCUCCGAAUAGUUAUGGCAUUCGAAGAUCAUCUCCACCUUUUGCUCCCAUUCCAAGUAGACAUCAGGAUCAUUCUUUCCUUGAAAGGAAGGAAUUUUUAUUUUGAUGCUGUCUAGGUUGCGAUCUACACCAUCUUGCAUUGAUCUCCUAUUGUGUCUCCUAGGAUGGUCAUCUCCACCAAAAGUGGUUGCUUGGUCAUCCUCCAAGUCAUCUUCAGCGUCAUAAUCCUCUUAUUCAAAGGCUAGUUGCCUUUCUCUUCUAGGCUCGUUUUGAAUCCUUGUAAUAGUUUCACCUUGCCUUCUCACACUUUCAACAACAUCAUCCAUCCGCCUAUACAUUCUUUCAAACUCCUUUUGAUUGCUUGCAAAGUUUGCUCAAUGGAUGCUCCAACACUACUUGAAACUUGUUCUUUUGACAUUGCACAAAAACCUGAAAAACAAGUUAGGAUAGCCUCACAAAAACACUCGCUCACGUGUUUCUCUCAAUUAAAAUGUCACACCACUCGUGUUUCACUCAAAGUUUUGGCUUUUCUCGAUACUAGUCUCACCACUAUUGCCUUUUACCUCUCUUGCUUUUGCUUUAAGUUCUUAGAUGAAUUAAUCACCUAAAUAAACCAAAUCAGAUUAUGGCAAUUCAAUGGAGUGAAGAAAAAAGGUUGGUCUAGAUCAAGUUGUUAGGUAAGGCCAAAUUUAAAGUAGCUAGACACAAGAAAGCAAUAAAAUAAAAUAAUAGAAUAGGACUUCUAUGUCGUCCAAACUUUCUUUUUGUUUGAUCUUUUGAUUCUUUUUAUUUUUUUAAUGAUAAUAACACAAAUGAAAAGAAAUUAUGAACAACACAAUUUAUUUUUUUUUAGCAAGGGAUAACGAAGUUUUACUUUAUGAACACAAAGAUGUAAACUUUGAAAAGAAAGAUUACUUAGAAGGACAAAAAAUUGAAACAAAAAGAAUUCAGCACAAAUAAAGAAAAAGUGAAGAAGAUGAGAAACUUCAAUAACACACAAAACUCAAAGAUAAGCAAACCUCAACUUGAAGCAAGCUCUGAUACCAAAUGAUAGGAAAUCAUCAUCUUAGCAACCAUAUACCCCAAUAACUAAUGAGUUAUGAUACAUAUGAAAUACAAGAAAAUACCCUCAAAUCAAGAUGAUUCCAAAACCCAAGGAUCUCCUCAAGUGAAGUUAGGAAAAACUAGUUCCAACAAUGAAACUAGCACUUGAAUUCAACUUCAAACACCACAAACCAAGUAUGAUUUGAUAAGUUAUGAAUCAAACACAAGAUUUUGGUUAGAGAACGCCACAAACUAAAAAUAGUUUGAUAAGUUCAAAGUUCAUGCAAGAACUUAAGCAAAAAUACUCACAAAGAGCAAAUAAAGAUUAUCAUUCAUCAAUUCUAUUUUUACACAUGGAUUUGGCUUUGAUAUUUAUAGCCAAAACAAGAGAAAGAAACCUAAAUGGAUGUCUUUUGAGCUUCCCCACAUUUUUCCCUUUAAUUCCCCUUAAAACUCAUUAAAAGUGGCUGUUUUUUUACAUUGAUAGCACUCAUUUUGUAACUUCCAAAUGACAACUAAACAUGUGCACUCAUUUGUAACUCCACACAACACACAUAUAACUCACACCUAAUAAAAUAAUCCUUAAUUAAAUAAAAAUAAACUAAAAUAAUUACUUAAGCUAAAACCCAAAAGAUAAGAACCCAUAAAAAUAUGAAUUAAGCCCAAAAGCCUAAUCAUAGCCAAAUGGCUUUUAUUCUUCAAAAUGGACUCAAUGCUUCAUUAUAAGGUUGGACUCUUAUUUUCAGACAUGAUUUGCAUUUCCAUUUUGGACCUUUUGGUGCAUACCUUUGCAAUGGAAUCUCAUGGUAACCUUGAUUCAUAUCACUGAAAUUCGUCAUGGCUGGGAAAGCAUCUUUCACGGGUAGAAAUCUUUAUUCACAGCUAGGAAUAUCUUCUUUCACGACUGAGAACUUUAGCCGUGAAGGCUACUGGACUUGUGAGGAAGAAAUUCUUCACGGGUGUGAAGAUUUAUUCACGGCUGGGAAGCUUCCGUUCACGGUUGGAAAGAUUUCUUCAUGGAUUACAGGUAGAAUCAUUGUUCACGGGCGUAAAUCUUGAUCUUCAUGGCUGGGAAGCCUCCCAAUGAAUGCUUCUGUCCUUUUUAUUUUGGUCCUUAAAUUUUUCACAGCUGAGAACUUUUUUUCAUGGCUGGGAAAGUGAGAUUCACGACCGUGAAUAAAAAUUCAUAGGCGUGCAUCUGCCUUACUAUAAGAGAAUAAGAGAUUUCCAUUCCUCUUCUCUUGCAUAUAAACACUUAAUUGAAAUUGUUAGCCAAACUCAAUUGUUUAUGACCAUUAAAAUAGGUUUUCAUAACCCUCAAGGUUGAAUGAAUUUUUUUCUUCAUGUUUCUAUACGUGAUUUUCUGGAUCAAUUUCUCUUUUUUUCUUCAUAAGAAAUAUCAAUCAAUUUGUCAAUGCAACCUAUUAUUUCUUUUUUCAAUCUUAUAUAUAUAUUAAAGGAAAAUGAAGUAGAUUAUUUAAGAUUAUUUUUUGUGGAGGUAUAUACUGAAUAUGGUUG
rnacentral:lncRNA from 1 species